ensembl:lncRNA
AACAGGGAGUACAGGAGAGGGCUCAGAACGCACCCUUGUGGGGCCCCAGUGUUGAGGAUCAGCGGGGAGGAGAUGUUGUUGCCUACCCUCACCACCUGGGGGCGGCCCGUCAGGAAGUCCAGUACCCAGUUGCACAGGGCGGGGUCGAGACCCAGGGUCUCGAGCUUGAUGACGAGCUUGGAGGGUACUAUGGUGUUGAAUGCCGAGCUGUAGUCGAUGAACAGCAUUCUCACAUAGGUAUUCCUCUUGUCCAGAUGGGUUAGGGCAGUGUGCAGUGUGGUUGAGAUUGCAUCGUCUGUGGAAUCUACUGUAGUGCCAAACUUAAUUGUGGCGCUGUUAUUAAAUCAAAGAAUGGUAUAUGCAAAUGAAGCAAACAUUCUGUUGUCAAUUUAGCUUCUAAUUAGUUUAAAAGAAAACAGUAAUUUUGGGCCCAAAAAAUGCCCCCUUCGUCCUUCUCUAUGGUCAUGAGCGACGGACGGAAAUGUGAUCUGUUCAACUGUCACCAUGGAAAGCAUAAAUAUGACUUGAUCUCACACUCACUGUAGCUGCAAACACGGUCUAGUCAUCCCUAAUUCCAUACUCAUCCCCUAUGGAAUGCAAAAGCAACGUGGCCAAACAUUCACGGCACAGUCUGGAGAGACAUCCUUCAUUCAGUGCGACAACAAAGCAUACAACAUGGCAUACAAACACACCCUCUUGACGGACAUAUGACACUUCACUGAUACAAAUCUCUUUUUUCUGUGUGCUCUCACGUGUGUGAGUCUGUGUGUGUGUGUCGGAUUGUGUGGUUGUGUGUGUGUGUCUGUUUGUGUGUGUAUUUGUGUGUCUGUGAAUGUCGGUGUCUGUCUGUCUGUCUGUCUGUGCGCUUUACAAGGAGCGGAGAGAGAAACCGGAUUUCCACCAAAGUGUGAGGGGAAGAAGUGGAGCCUGACAAUAAACAAUGACUUGCUGAUCUUCCAAGGCCCCUCAGUUCAUUUCACCCAUGGAAUUACGCAAGAGGGGAAGAAUGAGUGAUUUACUCUGCCAUGAAUGAUCACACAUGGGCAGACUGGAGUGUUUGUGUGUGUGUGUGUAUGCCUUUCUGUGUGUGUGUCUGUGUGUGUGUGUGUGUGUGUGUGUGUGUGUGUGUGUGUGUGUGUGUGUGUGUGUGUGUGUGUUUGUCUGUGUGCCUGGGUGUGUUUGUCUGUGUGCCUGUGUGCCUGUGUGUGUGUGUGUGUGUGUGUGUAUGUAUGUAUGUGAUGUCAUCAAUCUUUGGUUCCUUAUUAGAGUGUCCUCUGCUUCUCCAGUUCCUAGGCCAGGGGGUAGGGAGGAGUACUAUGUAACACUAUGCACACCAGUAGAGGCUAGUGGGAGGAGCUAUAGGAGGACGGGCUGAUUGUAAUGGCUGGAAUGGAAUUAAUGGAAUGGAGUCAAAUGUGUGGUUUCCAUAUGUUUUAUACAGUGCCAUUUAUUCCAUUCCAGCCAUUGCAAUGAGCCCAUCCUCCUAUAGUUCCUCCCACCUGCCUUCACUGAUACAAAAUCUCUUCCCCUGUCUAAAGAGCUCCAUUUAUGGUCAUGAGAUUUAUACAGAUCGACCAAUCCUUUUCACCUCUCUUUACUGUACAUGUCUCAAACACUAACAUGGCAUCAUAUUUUUUUAACAUAGACCUAAAAAGCUCAAUGUCAAAAUAGGGGCAUCAAAUAAAAAUCAAACAGUAUACUCUAACUACAUAUAUAAUAAUUAAUCUUUUGUCUAUCUGUGUUUCAUACUUUUCCUUCAAUUCACAACAGGCUGAAUGUAUCUCACCGGAGAAAGCAUCCAAGCGAGCGAAACAGCGCCCCUCUGUCUCUGUAUGUGUAGCCCAUCUAUCUGAUGCUGUCUGGUCAAAAAGAGUAUGACAUUGUUCCCGCCUGUAGCAUUAAAUGCAAGGGAAGCCAGUGAGCAUUUGGCCUCCCUUGAUAAAAAAAAUAUCAAAUAACAGCCAAUCAUCACACACACACACACACACACACACACACACACACACACACACACACACACACACACACACACACACACACACACACACACACACACACAC